UGUUUCAUUUUACAAGGGAUGUGGUGACAAUGUUUCACCCUACGUGGGAUGUGGUAACAAUGUUUCAUUCUACAUGAGGUAAGAAGACAAUGUUUCACUCAAAAUGGGAUGAGGUGACAAUGUUUCACUCUACAUGAGGUAAGGUGACAAUGUUUCACUCUACAUGAGGUAAGGUGACAAUGUUUCACUCUAAAUGGGAUGAGGAGACAAUGUUUCAC
rnacentral:lncRNA from 1 species